CCAGACGGUCGGGCGACCGCUGCCGGUGGGGGAACCUGCCGGUGGAGGAAAGUCCGGGCUCCACGGAAACACGGUGCCGGCUAACGGCCGGCGGGGGCGACCCCAGGGACAGUGCCACAGAAAACAAACCGCCCGCUUCCGGCCCUCGGGCCGCGCGGGCAAGGGUGAAACGGUGCGGUAAGAGCGCACCGCGCCUCCGGCAAC
rnacentral:RNase_P_RNA from 1 species